rnacentral:rRNA from 1 species
GACGAACGCUGGCGGCGUGCCUAAUACAUGCAAGUUGAGCGCUGAAGGUUGGUACUUGUACCAACUGGAUGAGCAGCGAACGGGUGAGUAACGCGUGGGGAAUCUGCCUUUGAGCGGGGGACAACAUUUGGAAACGAAUGCUAAUACCGCAUAAAAACUUUAAACACAAGUUUUAAGUUUGAAAGAUGCAAUUGCAUCACUCAAAGAUGAUCCCGCGUUGUAUUAGCUAGUUGGUGAGGUAAAGGCUCACCAAGGCGAUGAUACAUAGCCGACCUGAGAGGGUGAUCGGCCACAUUGGGACUGACACGGCCCAAACUCCUACGGGAGGCAGCAGUAGGGAAUCUUCGGCAAUGGACGAAAGUCUGACCGAGCAACGCCGCGUGAGUGAAGAAGGUUUUCGGAUCGUAAAACUCUGUUGGUAGAGAAGAACGUUGGUGAGAGUGGAAAGCUCAUCAAGUGACGGUAACUACCCAGAAAGGGGCGGCUAACUACGUG